rnacentral:rRNA from 1 species
GGUCACUGCUAUCGGUGUUCGACUAAGCCAUGCGAGUCAAAUGUUCUUCGUGAACAUGGCGUACUGCUCAGUAACACGUGGAUAACCUGCCCUUAGGUCUGGCAUAACCCCGGGAAACUGGGGAUAAUUCCGGAUAGAUUAUAGACGCUGGAAUGCCCUGUAAUCCAAAGCUAUUGUGCCUAAGGAUGGGUCUGCGGUCUAUCAGGUUGUAGUGGGUGUAAUGUACCUACUAGCCUACGACGGAUACGGGUUGUGGGAGCAAGAGCCCGGAGAUGGAUUCUGAGACAUGAAUCCAGGCCCUACGGGGCGCAGCAGGCGCGAAAACUUUACAAUGCGGGAAACCGCGAUAAGGGGACACCGAGUGCCAGCAUCCUAUGUUGGCUGUCCAUAUGUAUAAAUCACAUGUGUUAGCAAGGGCCGGGCAAGACCGGUGCCAGCCGCCGCGGUAACACCGGCGGCCCGAGUGGUGGCCACUAUUAUUGGGUCUAAAGGGUCCGUAGCCGGUUUGGUCAGUCUUCCGGGAAAUCUGACGGCUCAACCGUUAGGCUUUCGGGGGAUACUACCAGGCUUGGGACCGGGAGAGGUAAGAGGUACUACGGGGGUAGGAGUGAAAUCUUGUAAUCCCUGUGGGACCACCAGUGGCGAAGGCGUCUUACCAGAACGGGUCCGACGGUGAGGGACGAAAGCUGGGGGCACGAACCGGAUUAGAUACCCGGGUAGUCCCAGCUGUAAACUAUGCUCGCUAGGUGUCAGGGACGGUGCGACCGUUUCUGGUGCCGCAGGGAAGCCGUGAAGCGAGCCACCUGGGAAGUACGGUCGCAAGGCUGAAACUUAAAGGAAUUGGCGGGGGAGCACUACAACGGGUGGAGCCUGCGGUUU